rnacentral:tRNA from 1 species
GCCCGGAUGGCGAAAUGGUAGACGCAAGGGUCUUAAAAACCCUGACCUUUCAAGGGUAUGCGGGUUCGAGUCCCGCUCCGGGCACCA